UGCAGGCCAGAAGAGGGAGCCAGAUAUCAUUACAGGUGGUUGUGAGUCACCAGUGGUUGCUGUGAAUUGAACUCAGGACCUUUGGAAGAGCAGCCAGUGCUCUUAACCUCUGAGCCAUCUCUCCAGCCCUAUCUUUCCAUUUUUAAGAAAGUUCCCAGAGAAAAAGGCCAAUGGGGAAGAGAGUAAACAGGAGCUGUGAACUGAAGAUGGCAAAGUCUGAUCUUGGACAGCAUCUCUUCUGUUUUGUUUUUGUUUGUUUGUUUGUUUUGUUUUUCAAGACAAGGUUUCUCUGUGUGACAGCUCUGGCUGUCCUGGAACUUACAGAGUGCUGCGAUUACAGGCAUGAGCCACCACCGCCCAGCCUCUUCUGUUCUUUUUAAAGGCUUCCAAAUACUCCAAUAGGUCUUCAGCGUCAUCAUGUCUGAACAUUUGCAUCGAGGAGUACAUAUUCUUCAAUAAGAGACAGCUUUUGUCCUUGCUGUCACUGUUGGAGUCACGGGAGAUACAUAUAUCUGCAAGUUUCAUUAACAACGAAAUUCACUUCAUGAUUGUAAAGAAGACAACAAAAAUGUUUAUUAAGGAAGAGUAUUGGGUCAGAGUGUGUAGAGUGAUGCCCUUCAGAUCCAACCCAUAGCAAAACCUCUGCUUACUCAGGCUGACAAGCUGCUCUCUGAGGCAGGCCUGCAUCCAGAGGAGGUUUAAAGUGAUAGAGACUUCAGCUUCCACCGAAAGAAUGGGACCGGUCAGCAGAAAGCUGACCUGAAUGACCUUGGCCAAAAGGCAUGGCUGUAGGAUUUUCUCUUGCACUUGAGUUUGAUUCACUUAUUGUCAUCUCUCUUGAGGCAUAUGGCAUCAUUUUCUCUCUACUGUGACUAAUGCUCUUCAUCUUAGAUUUGAUAUCAGCAGCAAAAUCCCUAGAUAUGCGGAAAAAUAUGUCCAUGCACCUCUUCCUCUUGCUCCUAUUUCUGUUCCAGAGCAUUUGGUUGUUACUGCUGACUUGUACUGAGUGGCGCCAGUCGCACUUUACACCAGUGGCAUCUCCUGGUCUCUCUUGAUUUAAAAUAAAGUUGUGCUGCUAAAGUCAAAGGAUUGAAUUACAUGAAAACACCGACUUUAUCCCUUGAAAUAUUUGUUCCUUUCUCGUUGUGUUCUUGAAACUCAAAACUCCAGCUGGAAUUAUAGUCUAGAAAUAGAAUAAAAGCAGAACGAGUUAUAGAAAGCAAUAGACAACUUGAUUAGAGGUAGGUAUCUAGUUAUUUAAGCUAGAAACCAAAAUUUAACAUGUUGCUACUUACAUUUGUGUUAUAAAAUUGAUCAUUUUCAGUAGGGCAAAAGUAAAAAUCCAGGGACUUCUGUGGACAGUGAAGCACCACUCCAGGAGACUUAGAUUCUCA
rnacentral:lncRNA from 1 species